GNGAGUAGACCAACAGGGAUUGCCCUAGUAACGGCGAGUGAAGCGGCAACAGCUCAAAUUUGAAAUCUGGCUUCGGCCCGAGUUGUAAUUUGCAGAGGAAGCUUUAGGCGCGGCACCUUCUGAGUCCCCUGGAACGGGGCGCCAUAGAGGGUGAGAGCCCCGUAUAGUUGGAUGCCUAGCCUGUGUAAAGCUCCUUCGACGAGUCGAGUAGUUUGGGAAUGCUGCUCAAAAUGGGAGGUAAAUUUCUUCUAAAGCUAAAUACCGGCCAGAGACCGAUAGCGCACAAGUAGAGUGAUCGAAAGAUGAAAAGCACUUUGAAAAGAGGGUUAAAUAGCACGUGAAAUUGUUGAAAGGGAAGCGCUUGUGACCAGACUUGCGCCGGGCGGAUCAUCCGGUGUUCUCACCGGUGCACUCCGCCCGGCUCAGGCCAGCAUCGGUUCUCGCGGGGGGAUAAAGGUCCUGGGAACGUAGCUCCUCCGGGAGUGUUAUAGCCCGGGGCGUAAUGCCCUCGCGGGGACCGAGGUUCGCGCAUCUGCAAGGAUGCUGGCGUAAUGGUCAUCAGCGACCCGUCUUGAAACACGGACCAAGGAGUCAAGGUUUUGCGCG
rnacentral:rRNA from 1 species